CUAGAAUUACUUUUCUUAGUGAAUUAAGUCCAUAGGAAGCAGUUUGACGGAAGUAUGAGUGCCAAGAAUGGUUCCAAAAAUUCUGAUUGGAGAAUAGGACUUUCACAAAUAUGCCAUGUGAAAAGCAACCUGUUGAGCUGGAUAAUGAUGUGCUGAGAGUUGCUGUUGAGAGAAAUCCAGAAGCAGCAAUCAAGGAAUUGGUCACAAUUGUCCAUUCAUUCAUUUCAACUUUCAGAGGCUUCUACAGGACUUUGAUUGUGUGUCAAAAAUGGAUAAUGAGUUUCAGCCACAAAAUCUGUGACCUAGCAUGUAAAUAUUUGCAUUUCCUUGCUCUCCCAUGAAAAGAGAGAGUUGUUUUUGAAAAGAGUGGUUAUGGGAAAUAAAAAAUGUUUUCACAAAUGUCCG
rnacentral:lncRNA from 1 species